AUGCACGCUGGCGGCGUGCCUAAUACAUGCAAGUCGAGCGAACAGACGAGGAGCUUGCUCCUCUGACGUUAGCGGCGGACGGGUGAGUAACACGUGGAUAACCUACCUAUAAGACUGGGAUAACUUCGGGAAACCGGAGCUAAUACCGGAUAAUAUAUUGAACCGCAUGGUUCAAUAGUGAAAGACGGUUUUGCUGUCACUUAUAGAUGGAUCCGCGCCGCAUUAGCUAGUUGGUAAGGUAACGGCUUACUAAGGCAACGAUGGGUAGCCGAACUGAGCGGCGGAUAGGCGGCCUUGGAGGGGGACCGGGCUCCUGGGGCCUGCGAGAGGGACCAGAAGGCAAUCGGACGCAAUAGUCGGGAGCCUGGCGCAGCAGCGGCGAGUCAGUGAUGGAAGCGCUCGGAGCGUGAAACUCGGCUAUGAGGGAAAAACAGAUGUGUAAGUAACUGUAGAGGUCGUGACGGUACCGAGUCAGAAAGCCACGGCUAACUACGUG
rnacentral:rRNA from 1 species